AUUUGGAACAAAGGUUUUUUAGCGUGUGUGCGAUAACUGAUUAACAUAAGAAUAAUUAUCUUUGGAAUAUCCGCAGACUAAUAUUAUAUCAGUUUAUUUUUAUUUUUAACGAAUACAUCGUUCGAUAUGCCGUGGUGGGAAAUUUUUAUCCGACAAUUUGCUUUAUUGCAAAGUUUAAUUACCGUAACAAUAUUUUUCGGGUCAAUGAAUAUUGAGGCUGCUCCCAUAGCAGACCUUAACUCUGUGAAUUUAACCACAGAGUUUAAUAUCACGGGAGAGUGUCUACCGCUGGGUGAAAUAGCGAAAUUCGAGAAAUACCCUACGGAAAAAAAUAAUGAUCCGCAAUCGGGUACCGGAUUUCCGGUUAUAAACGCCGCGGCUUUGACCAGCGACGAUUUCGCGAGGGUGGAAUAUAACAAUUCGGAAUUAUCGCCAUUUGGCGACGAUCAGGCAGACUGGAUGAGACUGAAAAUUCUUCACGAUCUCCUUCAGCGCCCUCAAGACGAUUUUUUGAAAUCCAACUUUCAAACGGUUUACAAGUUCUUGGUCACCGCUUACAAACGUCUGCGAAGUGGUAAUAAAAUUAUGGAAAACAGUCACAUGGAAGAUCGAAGUGGCGGAGAAAAUUCAAGUCUCGAGGACAGGGUGGAAAAAGAUGGAGAUAAGAGGGUCUUUCACACCUCGUCAACCUCCUCGACGUCUGACGGACUCCCUCACCGGCUUUAUCGCUCCACUCUCAUACACAGCGAGAUAAACGACGACGACGACGAAGAAAACGACUACGCAGAAUCGCUUGACGAUCUUUUGGAAACGACCGGCGUUGCGGCCUCGAAACUUGACGUAGGAAAAACGAAUUUGUAUCUCAAGCCGAAGACGACCGCGACAAGUACCGAAUCAAUGCGGAUAAUAACCGUCGUCGAACAUCCAACGGAAGAAACGAACACUGUGUCAAAAACUCUUUUGGAUUCGGGGGAAGAUGACUCGAAAUCAGAGAUUGAUCGAAAAUAUACCGAAUCUAAUUCCGUCACCGCUGAAAUAAAGCGGGUUUUUGGUGCCACUGGUGACUUCCGAUCGAUAUUGACCACCGGGGAGGAAGGAAACGAUCAACAACUUUUUAACACGACAUUGAAAAAUUUGGAUACUCUUUUUGAAGGAUCCACUCGGACGAAUAUUACCGCGCAGAAUAAUUUCGUGACGGAAAUAACUACGGCUGAGAAUAAUAACAGAGAAAUUGGAAGUACAGCUAUGAGUAACAUUGAAAGCGGAGUUUACGGUACGAUGAAUAAUAUCGGAGUUGGAAUUACUACUCGGAUUAAUUCUCAAUCCGAAACCACGUGGAAGAGUAUCUUUGAAGCAGGAAUUACAAUCGAGAAUGAUACUGAAACGAAAUUUCAUGCAGCGAAGAAUAAUUCUGGGUUUGAAAAUAGGACUCGGAUUAAUUCCGAGUUUGAAAACGCAACGAAGAAAAUUUCCGAGCCUGAAAACACUACUGAGAUUGAUAACGAAUCGAGUAUUUAUGGGACGAUGAGUAGCUCGGAACCUGGAAUUAGGGCUGAGAAUAAUUCCGGAAUCGGGAUUAAAAUCAAUUACAAUAAUACCGAAACGGAAAUUGUGACUACAGGAAAUAAUUUUUCAACGAUAAUCACAACUGAAAAAAGUAACAUUCAAACACCGAUAGCUGCGAAGAAUAAUUCCGAUGCAAAAUUUACCAUCAAUAAUGAAAGCGAUGUAAAUGUUGAAACAAAAAUUACAACUUUAAGAAACGAUAUUGAAACAGAGAAUUCAACCACAGAGAAUAAUGUUGAAAUUGGAAUCACGGUUGAAAAUGAAUCUGGAAUUAAAACUAGCUUUGCAAAGAAUGAUUUCGAAACGGAAAAAAUCUCGCAUUCGUCACAAUUUCCCGGCACGUCGAUCGAGUUUUCAACGGUAUCACAAUUCUCGGAGAAAAUCAACGGCAAUCCAGACGGUUAUCGAAUGAUCUCUGACAGGUUUCACGAAUCGUUGGAAUCGACGACCGUUUCGAGUCGCCACGUCGCAGGAAUCCGCGAUAUUCCUUACAGCGCCACGAGUGAGGAAAAUGACCCGGAUAUUCCGUCGGUCACGAAACCGGAAGACGGUGACAAAAUCGCAGGAAAUUCCGGCGACGAAGAGGCCGAACCUUCAAUUCACUCCCAAACUACGACGACGACGACGACGAUUUUUCAUCCCUCUUCGACUGAUCGUGGAAUUCCGGUUCGGGAUGCGAAGAAGGUGCAGGUGAUACUGAAAAUCGGCGACAUCGAGUUAUCGCCCUACAACGGCAUGACCAGAUCUACCGAAGUGGGCCUGGUGAAAAUACCGGGUUCAAAAAAUGGUCGCAAAGAAUUUUCGGGACCAACGAAUUACGUUUCGAGAAUUUACAACGUAAACGACAACGAGGCGGCGAUCGAAGAGGAGGGCGAAAACGAAGACUCGGUCAAUCCGAAAUCGUCUUACAACGACCCGUACAGUUACGCAAAAAAUUUCGACAGCGAUCAUCCCCAUCGUCAUCUUCCUCGGUAUCACCGUUUCGACGAAUCGUUGGAUUCAGGCGAGUCGAAGGCGUCUUGGGAAAAUUAUCGCUCGAAGAAUUUUCCCCAUCCGCAAGUUCGAGUUCCGGUAAAAAGAGGCGGCCACAAUACCAAUAUCGAAAAAUUGUACAGGUGGUUCUACAGGACCGGUCAGGAAGCCGAAAAUCCGGAUCUUUCAAGACGGGGUUUGCUGGUCAGGUACAUAGCGAAACCGGAAAUCAGGUGCAAGGAAUUGGCUAAAGUCCGAGGGGAUCGAUGAACGACUUUGAACUUCCGCAUCGAAGAACAUCCGUGGCAAGAAGAAGGGAUAAUAAAAGGAAUAGGAAGGGACAAUAGGACGAGGGAUGAAAAAAAAUGGAGAGGACAUUGUAACGUUGGAUUUUGCGUCUAUUCCAUUCUAUUCCAUCUCAUUCCAAACCAAACUCAGGAACGAAGCAGCGAACCGACCAACCUGGAGGAAAAGGGUUUGGAUGUUAGCCAGAAGUCGAACUAUUCUGAAACGGACCGGAAAUACAGACGAGCAAAGGUGGGGACGAGGACUGGUUUCGGGGGUUGAAAAAGAGACGAGCUACCCACCCGAAAUAUUUCUCUGCAGAGUGCAGUUUUCCGAUUUUACUGCUGGCUCCGCGAAUCAGGCGAAACCGAUGAAGCGAAAGUUUAUUCGAACAAACAAGACGGAUCGUUGGACUUUGCUUCAAGUAUUUGCUGCGACGUCUCGGCAUCGCUUUUCGCUAAGUCCGGCGAGGAACGGAUCAGAGAAGAGCAGAGCUGCAAUAGAAAAUAUUUCCUCCUCUCUGCCUCGAUUCCUUACUUAAAUUCUACUCCCGUUUUCUUGAUUACGAAUUGAUUAUUCUCAGACGUUCCGUAAUAACGCGACUGUUUACGACGCUGCCGAGAUUUGAUGCAAUGAUUUCAUAUAUUAAAUGUAUGUGGUGCGUAUGUAAUGUAUAUGCGAAUGUUGUCUGUUUACAUGUAUCAUGUAAAAGGUAUAAAAGGUGAGUUGUUCUUCAUUCUCUUAUUUUGUUGAAAGCCAAGAAUCAUUUGGAAUUGGCAAUUUUUCCAUCGAGUUGAGGGUUUCAGCGAUUCGAUCACUUCGAAAUUUAUCACUCCUGAUUAAUUUUUGUUAUUAGAAUUACGAAUGAAACAUGGAAAUGCGUCUGUGAUAGCAAGUGAUUAGACCUUGUAUAGUGCUUACAAUGAACAUUUUUUACACUGGUGUCAUGAUCGUUUCGAUAAAUAAAUAAUUGAGACUACAAACCUAAGAUACUGAAUUAAGCUUGUCUUUAUACAUACAAGUACAUUUGUAUAAUAUAAUAUAUAAUAUAAUAAUAAUAAGAUGAUUAUUUUUUUGGAUUGAUUGAGUAUUACCGUUGUAUAUAAGAGUAUGAUUGUAAAAUGAAAUAAUUUAUCACUCCUGAUUUACUGUUGUCAUUAGCAUUACGAAUGAAAUAGUGAAAUGCGUCUGUGAUAGCAAGUGAUUAGACCUUGUAUAGUGCUUACAAUGAACAUUUUUUACACUUGUGUCAUGAUCGUUCCGAUAAAUAAAUAAUUAAGACUACAAACCUAAGAUACUAAAUUAAGCUUGUCUUUAUACAUACAAGUACAUUUGUAUAAUAAGAUGAUGAUUAUUUUGGAUUUAUUGAGUAUUACCGUUGUAUAUAAGAGUAUGAUUGUAGAAUGAAAUAAUUUAUCACUCCUGAUUUAU